rnacentral:rRNA from 1 species
GUCCACGCCGUAAACGAUGAGUGCUAGACGUCGGGGGUUCACUCUCCGGUGUCGCAGCUAACGCGUUAAGCACUCCGCCUGGGGAGUACGGUCGCAAGAUUAAAACUCAAAGGAAUUGACGGGGCCCGCACAAGCGGUGGAGCAUGUGGUUUAAUUCGAAGCAACGCGAAGAACCUUACCAGCCCCUUGACAUGGGGGAGUGUGGACCGCAGAGACGCGGUCCUUCAGUUCGGCUGGCUCCCACACAGGUGCUGCAUGGCUGUCGU